rnacentral:rRNA from 1 species
GACCAAGGAGUCUAACAUAUGUGCAAGUCAUUGAGUAUUUUGUUGAAACCUAAUGGCGUAAUUAAAAUGACUAUAUUUUAAUUUGGGAUUACAAGUGAUGUUCAAAUUUAUGCAUUAUUUUUCAAUCCCGGGGCGUUCUAUACGAACAUGAUGUAAGCAAUUAUGUCCUCUGUUCAAGAGCGUACCUUGAGCACAUAUGCUGUGACCCGAAAGAUGGUGAACUAUACCUGAUCAGGUUGAAGUCAGGGGAAACCCUGAUGGAAGACCGAAGCAGUUCUGACGUGCAAAUCGAUUGUCAGAAUUGGGUAUAGGGGCGAAAGACCAAUCGAACCAUCUAGUAGCUGGUUCCCUCCGAAGUUUCCCUCAGGAUAGCUGGUGCAAUUAUAUAUAAUAUAUAUAAUCUUAUCUGGUAAAGCGAAUGAUUAGAGGCAUUGGGGCCGAAACGACCUCAACCUAUUCUCAAACUUUAAAUGGGUAAGAACCUCAUCUUUCUUGAUCUGAAGAUAUUGGGGUUUAGAUAUAUUGUGCCCAGUGGGCCACUUUUGGUAAGCAGAACUGGCGCUGUGGGAUGAACCAAACGUGAUGUUACGACGCCUAAAUUAAUGACUCAUGUUGAUACCAUGAAAGGCGUUGGUUGCUUAAAACAGCAGGACGGUGGACAUGGAAGUCGUAAUCCGCUAAGGAGUGUGUAACAACUCACCUGCCGAAGCAACUAGCCCUUAAAAUGGAUGGCGCUUAAGUCAUAUGUCUAUACAUCACCGCUAGAAUAGAAAGAUUUUUUUGGUAAAACAAAAAAAUUUAUGAAAUUCUAGUGAGUAGGAGGGUACAAUGGUGUGCGCAGAAGUGCUUGGCGUGAGCCUGCAUGGAGCCGCCAUUGGCACAGAUCUUGGUGGUAGUAGCAAAUAAUCGAAUGAGAUCUUGGAGGACUGAAGUGGAGAAGGGUUUCGUGUGAACAGUGGUUGAUCACGAGUUAGUCGGUCCUAAGCCCUAUGCGAAAGCUGUUUAAAUUAUGUUAUUAUUUAUUUAAAAAAUAUUCUUAACUACAUAAUCUAAUAUGGGCGAAAGGGAAUACGGUUCCAAUUCCGUAACCUGUUGAGUAUACGUUUGUUUAUUAAAAGUGGGUCUUGUUACACUCAUCCUGGCAACAGGAACAACCAUAGAGAAGCCUUCGAGAGAUAUUGGAAGAGUUUUCUUUUCUGUUGAACAAUCGUAUAACCAUGGAAGUCUUUCGCAGAGAGAUAUGGUUAAUGGAUUGGAAGAACAUGACAUUUACUGUUGUGUCAAUAUUUUCUCCUUGGACCUUGAAAAUCUAUGGUGGGGCCACGCAAAUUUCUCAACAGACCGUACCGAUAUCCGCAG